AUGCUCACAUCAGUAGCACAUGUACUAAAAUUGAAACAAUACAGAAAAGAUUAGCAUGGCCUCUGCAAAGAAUAACAUGCAAAUUUGUGAAGUGUUCUAUAUUUUU